rnacentral:rRNA from 1 species
UUAAUUGAAGAGUUUGAUCAUGGCUCAGAUUGAACGCUGGCGGCAGGCCUAACACAUGCAAGUCGAGCGGAAACGGCAGUAUUGAAGCUUCGGUGGAUUUACUGGACGUCGAGCGGCGGACGGGUGAGUAACGGCUGGGAACCUGCCCUGACGAGGGGGAUAACCGUUGGAAACGACGGCUAAUACCGC